AAUUAGAUUUGGGCCGGGUCCGUUUUCAAGUCAGCAGAUCCGCAUAGCAGUCACAGUCAUUUUGCCGAUCAGCGGCAGCUCCGAUCCGGACCAGUAGUUUGACAGUCAGUUUUGAAGGCUCCUGGCGGAUGCGGGCCACAUAAGCAAUCCGGACGCGCCAUAAUAAAAUAAUUCAGUCCGAUUUGAAGGCGCGUGGCGGGUGCGGGCCACAUAAAGCAAUCCGGACGCGCCAAAACUGAAUUUGUUCCCCAACUGUCACUUUGGAACCCUCAGAGAGAGAGACUGUUCUUCAGUUUACCUCAGCUGAACUCAACUAUCCGCCUGUGUCGCGUCUCGUCCAACACUGCACUGUCGUGACUUGAUCAUUCAAUGAUGAAUUGUACGGUAGGUUCAGCCAUUCCUUGAUCGACCUGACACCAGCAUUAGGCCUACUCGAUGUGUAUGAAGCAAGCUGCCUCUGCAUCAAGUGAGGGAAGAAGCCGCCACUGAAAAGCUUUUUGGACUGUCAUUUGAAGGACACAAAUGAAAGGAGAGGAAUUCUGCUCUGCGGC